GCUGUAGUCCACCUGUUGGAUGCAACAGUUAGUUUCUUUCAGUUCUGGCUCUUUCUGGCUCUCUUCCCUGCAAAGAUCAUCAUUUGGUAUAUCAUCUUGAUUCACAUAAAAAACAUUUUCACUCAAACAAUCAAUGAUAUCUAAAUUAUCAACAGGUUCUGUUUGAUCAGUUUGUUUGGACAAACAGUUUUCUGGAUGUGUCUCUUCAGCAGCUUGUUCUUGUACUUGCCAACUUUCAUCUUCAUCGUCCACAUCUUGAAGUUCUUGCUCUCUUCUUAACAUGAGUGCAUUCAAUCAGAUGGCCAUUUAAUCCAUUUGUUGUUGCAUACUUUGCAAAGUAACUGCCAAUGUCCUCAUCUUAUCUUCAUCAAGGUGCAUAUUGGAACUUGGAGGUGCUGUUUGGGAUUGAUAUCCUUGAUAGUCCUGGUAGUCAUUAGCCUCAGCGUAGCCAUAGUUCAGUUGGCCUCCCCAAUAUGGAUUGUAUGUGUCAUGGUAGGGAUCAUGUCUUGGCUGUUCAUAGUAUCCUCCAUAUGCAUGAACUGGUUGGUCAUUGAAUCCUCCAAAUGUAUGCAUUGGUUGGUCAUCCUCAUAAAGUGUAGGACAUCGGGAAGUUAGGUGUCCCACAUAUCCACAGAUCAUACAG
rnacentral:lncRNA from 1 species